rnacentral:rRNA from 1 species
UACGUAGGGUGCGAGCGUUAAUCGGAAUUACUGGGCGUAAAGCGUGCGCAGGCGGUUUGUUAAGACAGAUGUGAAAUCCCCGGGCUUAACCUGGGAACUGCAUUUGUGACUGGCAAGCUAGAGUAUGGCAGAGGGGGGUAGAAUUCCACGUGUAGCAGUGAAAUGCGUAGAGAUGUGGGAGGAAUACCGAUGGCGAAGGCAGCCCCCUGGGCCCAAUACUGACGCUCAUGCACGAAAGCGUGGGGAGCAAACAGG